UUUCUUGUUGAAACUUUCUUAUGUGAACCUAGAAUUUUCAGAAAUGGAGAAGUGGCCUUCUGCAGAGUUGAUGCCCAGUUUCCAUCAGUGCAUGUGAGACGACAAUUAAAGCAGAUGUUGGGGCCAAGUUCAUCGUGGUUCAGAAGUGUUACAUAGAGGGUGGAUCUGGCUACCACUGUGGGAAGUGGAAUGCUGUAGAAGUGAUUUCUCAUGAUUUGUUUCUGAAAACGGAGUGAAACCAACAACGUCUUUCGUGAUUUCAGCAGAUGAUGAUAAAGGUUUGAAGAUAAAAGGGUUAUAAAGGCCACGAAGGGGGGGUCAACUUCCAUUGCCUGUGGUGAGUGAGCCCAUUUAUUGUCUGUUCCAAGAUAUUGAAAGAUUAAAUUCAGGAGAAAUCAAUAUAUGACUUAUACAGAGUAUGUGAACUGAAGCAGCUAUGAGCAUCUCUUCUGUCUUGCACAAAAUAUGCUCUUACGUGUGAUACAGAAGAACCUAUGUCAUUUGGUAUAAAGACUGUGAGAUCCAAAC